AUUGAACGCUGGCGGCAGGCCUAACACAUGCAAGUCGAGCGGAUGAAGGGAGCUUGCUCCUGGAUUCAGCGGCGGACGGGUGAGUAAUGCCUAGGAAUCUGCCUGGUAGUGGGGGAUAACGUCCGGAAACGGGCGCUAAUACCGCAUACGUCCUGAGGGAGAAAGUGGGGGAUCUUCGGACCUCACGCUAUCAGAUGAGCCUAGGUCGGAUCAGCUAGUUGGUGGGGUAAAGGCCUACCAAGGCGACGAUCCGUAACUGGUCUGAGAGGAUGAUCAGUCACACUGGAACUGAGACUCGGUCCAGACUCCUACGGGAGGCAGCAGUGGGGAAUAUUGGACAAUGGGCGAAAGCCUGAUCCAGCCAUGCCGCGUGUGUGAAGAAGGUCUUCGGAUUGUAAAGCACUUUAAGUUGGGAGGAAGGGCAGUAAGUUAAUACCUUGCUGUUUUGACGUUACCAACAGAAUAAGCACCGGCUAACUUCGUG
rnacentral:rRNA from 1 species